rnacentral:rRNA from 1 species
GGGUUGUAAAGUACUUUCAGUUGUGAGGAAGGGGGUAGCGUUAAUAGCGCUAUCUCUUGACGUUAGCAACAGAAGAAGCACCGGCUAACUCCGUGCCAGCAGCCGCGGUAAUACGGAGGGUGCGAGCGUUAAUCGGAAUUACUGGGCGUAAAGCGCAUGCAGGUGGUUCAUUAAGUCAGAUGUGAAAGCCCGGGGCUCAACCUCGGAACUGCAUUUGAAACUGGUGAACUAGAGUACUGUAGAGGGGGGUAGAAUUUCAGGUGUAGCGGUGAAAUGCGUAGAGAUCUGAAGGAAUACCAGUGGCGAAGGCGGCCCCCUGGACAGAUACUGACACUCAGAUGCGAAAGCGUGGGGAGCAAACAGGAUUAGAUACCCUGGUAGUCCACGCCGUAAACGAUGUCUACUUGGAGGUUGUGGCCUUGAGCCGUGGCUUUCGGAGCUAACGCGUUAAGUAGACCGCCUGGGGAGUACGGUCGCAAGAUUAAAACUCAAAUGAAUUGACGGGGGCCCGCACAAGCGGUGGAGCAUGUGGUUUAAUUCGAUGCAACGCGAAGAACCUUACCUACUCUUGACAUCCAGAGAAGCCAGCGGAGACGCAGGUGUGCCUUCGGGAACUCUGAGACAGGUGCUGCAUGGCUGUCGUCAGCUCGUGUUGUGAAAUGUUGGGUUAAGUCCCGCAACGAGCGCAACCCUUAUCCUUGUUUGCCAGCGAGUAAUGUCGGGAACUCCAGGGA